rnacentral:lncRNA from 1 species
GAGAUGCCACUUGCCACUUUUUAUCCCGAUAAAAAAUAGCGAAGUGAAGACAUGAUGGUGAGACAUUUAUUUUGAUGAGUAACCAUUUUUUGCAAAGUUACAAUAUAGAUGCCGUUAUAUAAAUUCAUAAAUUCAACUGAUUAGCAGCUAUAUGUAAUUUAAUGCUUUCAGUACAUAUUUUCCUUUCUAUAUUAAGAAAAAAAAAGGUAUUAUAAAUAUCAGUUAAAAAAUAGGAAAAAUCUGAUUUUACAGGUACUGGCCUGUGCCUCUAGGUGUUUAGCAUUCUUUCUUUAGCUAAAGUUGAAAACAUUAAAAUGUCAUUUAAUUUUCAAAUUAAGAUGAGUAUGAUGCAGAUACACAAUGUAGAAAGCCAGAGGAAUAAAAGCCUAAAAUUUUUUUAAAGCACAGAAGGCUUCACAUCAACAGUAAAUAUCAGUUAAUAAGUGUUUUGCUAUGACUGGCUGAAAUAUGGCGAUACUGUAAUUAUCAAGGAGUUCAUAUAAACUAAAGUUAUAAACGACGAUUUAAAUGUAAAGUAAGCUAAAUGCAAGAUGAAUCCACUUCUACAGAUGCAAAGACUGCAGUCUUAUGAAUGGUCUCAUAAAGCCAUCUGAUGAUUUCAUGAUUAUGACUGUUCUCAUUCUAGGCAUGUGAGCCUGUAGCUCUGGUGACUGAUCCAUGGAGAAAUACUGCACUGGAUUUCACAUCAGCAUUACAGGGAGCAGGCAAUACUAACUUACGGCCCGAGAAGUGACAAGGGCCCCUCGCUGCCCGCCAACCGACCCUGGAAGAGCCCCAGCCGCCAAACCCCAUCUCCGAAGGCGGCAGCAGCCGGCGGGCAGCCGCCUCCUUCCUCCUCCCCUCACGUUCUCGGCGGAGCUCACGUUCAGCACCAAGCUAGCGGGCUCGCUGUAGGGGCGGAGGAAGCGCAGCAGCAGGCGGGUCGAUGCCGAGUCCCCGGGCGCACACCACCAGCCCGUCCCGGUGGAAGAAGUCCUCAAACCCGCCUCCUGUGGUCCAGCAGCGCCUCCAUCGCCGCCGGCCCCAGCCCGCCACAGCAGCGCCUGCGCCCGGCCUCGCCGCGGCUGAGGGAGCGGCGCCCUCAGGCGGCUGGAGGCGGUGUCUCAUCUUCUAGUUGAGGGUCUUCUGAGGGCAGGGGUCAGGUACGGAGGUCAUUUUUUUUAUUCCAAAUGCUUCAUUUUUAGUCACUGACUAACGGCAUUUCUUAACAAAAGAAGCUGGCUGAACCGAGCUUGCUCUCCGCCAUGAGGCAGCAGCACCUCAGCUUGGCAGUGUCCCGCAUGAGAGGAGCCCCAGGCCUGCUACCCAAAAUGGCUGUCAGGGCAUAAAUAUAAAAUAAAGCUAUAAAUCUGGACGUUUUCUGGGCCGGCCACAGGGCAGAUGGGUGCUGCUUUGGUUGGGCCACAUGGUAGCAAAUUUAGCUGUUGAAUGUGGUCAUUUAAUAUAUGACGCUUUCAAAUUAUUUUAGAAGUCAUCUGCAUUUUAACAGGCAAACAUUCAGAAAAAAUGUUUAAAAAUGGACAUAAAUUAAUAAAAUAUUGGGACUAUUCUUGAUUUUUUUUUUUUUUUCCAC